AAUACUUUAGCAAAACUAGUUUCAAGAUGGUAUCCAGCACCUCAUGAAAUCUUGAUUAUGAACAAGAUUUCAUGAGGUGCUGGAUACCAUCUUGAAACUAGUUUUGAUCUG